GCUGCGCAUUAUAACGAAGCGGCGCAGCGGCGCAGACGGACGCAGACGGACGCAGACAGCAGCUCACUGCUCUCAGCGACGGUCCGGUGAAGACUGUCUCCGCGAAUUAACAAGAAAAUAAUCAUCAUUGACGGUCAAAUAACAGCGGGACUCUGCUGAGGCUGUUUGUUACACAGCAACGAGAGAGAGGAGGAAAGAAACGCCGCCGAUCAGUCGAGCCUCUGCCUCUCGUCCUGAACCACAGGAACCAUGGUGCCUGCAGUCCUGAAACUGUAUUUUAUUGGAACGGCUCUGAGCAUCCUCGCAGUCAUUUACGGAAUAGUAGACUCCUUUGGCGGUUUGAUGUAUGUCCAGGACCAUCACUACAUUUUGGACCUGAACCAGCAAACGCAGAUCCCCUCGAGCGACCACAAGAGAGGAUCAGCGGUGACUAAAAACAUCGGCUCAUGAGGGAAACAUCUGGUUUACACAGAAAUGGCAGCUGGAUGAAUGAACUGGCUACUGUGGGAACUAAUCAACAGUGACUCUUUAUCAUCACUGGAAAUAACAACAGUCCUGGUUCCAUAGUUGAGCCUGGACGUCAUUGUAAUGUCUAACUUGCUGGACGUGUUCUGCACUGGACAGUUUGUUGACACUGAUGCAGGAUCCCACUGCGUGUGUUUGUGUUUGAUCCACUUUAGAUCAUCUGCUGUCAAACACUGUAGCAGUUAGCAACUACACACCUGAUGAGAAAUGUAACAGCACUACUGAACUCUGAUUUGCACUAAAAAUGUUUUGUCUUUUUAAUAUGUAUAUUUUGAUUUUUUUUCUUUUCUUUAAAUAAAAGGAAGUUAAAGCCUAAAGUGUUGCAAUGGGUACUACUAAGUAUUCAUACAGCAGCGUCUUCCAAGAAACAGAA